UGCAGUUAAAUGUGGAUUGGCUGACGAGCGGUUAUUACUAUUACUAUAUAAGCACAUGGACAUGGAAUUAAACAAUUACUUUAUGAUUACAAAUUGAAGUGGCAUAUUAAAUAAACUAUAUAAAUAUA